UUUCCGUAGGUGUACCUGCGGAAGGAUCAUUCAUAAUAAAGUGUUUUAUGGCACUUUUUAAAAAUCCAUAUCCACCUUGUGUGCAAUGUUAGAUCUCGUCAAUCUUGGCGAGAUUUUUAUACAUCAACUCAUUCUUUAACUAAUUUGUCUGAAAAAUAUUAUGAAUACUUAAUUCAAAAUGCAACUUUCAACAACGGAUCUCUUGGCUCUC
rnacentral:misc_RNA from 1 species